rnacentral:rRNA from 1 species
AUUGAACGCUGGCGGCAGGCCUAACACAUGCAAGUCGAGCGGGGUUUUCGGACCUAGCGGCGGACGGGUGAGUAAUGCGUAGGAAGCUACCCGAUAGAGGGGGAUACCAGUUGGAAACGACUGUUAAUACCGCAUAUUGUCUACGGACCAAAGUGUGGGACCUUCGGGCCACAUGCUAUCGGAUGCGCCUACGUGGGAUUAGCUAGUUGGUGAGGUAAUGGCUCACCAAGGCGACGAUCCCUAGCUGGUGUGAGAGGAUGAUCCGCCACACUGGAACUGAGACACGGUCCAGACUCCUACGGGAGGCAGCAGUGGGGAAUAUUGGACAAUGGGCGCAAGCCUGAUCCAGCCAUGCCGCGUGUGUGAAGAAGGCCUUCGGGUUGUAAAGCACUUUCAGUAGGGAGGAAGCGUUGUGUGUUAAUAGUACACAGCGUUGACGUUACCUACAGAAGAAGCACCGGCUAACUCUGUGCCAGCCGCCGCAGUAAGAC